rnacentral:rRNA from 1 species
UGAGGAAUAUUGGUCAAUGGGCGAGAGCCUGAACCAGCCAAGUAGCGUGCAGGAUGACGGCCAUAUGGGUUGUAAACUGCUUUUAGAUGGGAAUAAAGUGAGGGACGUGUCCCUUAUUGCAUGUACCAUAUGAAUAAGGACCGGCUAAUUCCGUGCCAGCAGCCGCGGUAAUACGGAAGGUCCAGGCGUUAUACGGAUUUAUUGGGUUUAAAGGGAGCGUAGGCUGUUUGUUAAGCGUGUUGUGAAAUGUAAGAGCUCAACUUUUAGAUUGCAGCGCGAACUGGCAGACUUGAGUGCGCACAACGUAGGCGAAAUUCAUGGUUUAGCGGUGAUAUGCUUAGAUAUCAUGACGAACUCCGAUUGCGAAGGCAGCUUACGGGAGCGCAACUGACGCUAAAGCUCGAAGGUGCGGGUAUCGAACAGG